UACGGGGGGGGCAAGCGUUGUUCGGAAUUACUGGGCGUAAAGGGCUCGUAGGUGGCCAACUAAGUCGGACGUGAAAUCCCUCAGCUUAACUGGGGAACUGCGUCCGAUACUGGAUGGCUUGAGUUUGGGAGAGGGAUGCGGAAUUCCAGGUGUAGCGGUGAAAUGCGUAGAUAUCUGGAGGAACACCGGUGGCGAAGGCGGCAUCCUGGACCAACACUGACACUGAGGAGCGAAAGCCAGGGGAGCAAACGGGG
rnacentral:rRNA from 1 species